rnacentral:rRNA from 1 species
UACGAAGGGGGCUAGCGUUGUUCGGAAUCACUGGGCGUAAAGGGCGCGUAGGCGGCUUUGUAAGUCGGUGGUGAAAGCCUGUGGCUCAACCACAGAAUUGCCUUCGAUACUGCAUGGCUUGAGACCGGAAGAGGUUAGUGGAACUGCGAGUGUAGAGGUGAAAUUCGUAGAUAUUCGCAAGAACACCAGUGGCGAAGGCGGCUCACUGGCCCGGUACUGACGCUGAGGUGCGAAAGCGUGGGGAGCAAACAGG